rnacentral:rRNA from 1 species
AUUUACGGACACACCACCCUGAAUGCACCUACUCUUGUCUGAUCUUGAAAGCUAAGCAAGGUCAGGCCUGGUUAGUGCUUGGAUGGAAAACAAUGGGAAAGUGAAAUGAGUAGACA